CCAUAGCCCUGAUAGUAGCGGCAUCCUUUUUUGUUAGUGAUAGCUUCGACUACGCUCGGUCACCGGAAACAAAAAAGAUAUAGCGGAUAGCAGGAAAUGGC
rnacentral:sRNA from 1 species